rnacentral:sRNA from 1 species
ACCUUAUGUGGUAGCAAUACCGGAUAGGGUUAGUGGCGGACGGGUGAGUAACGCGUGGAUAACCUGCCUCCAAGUGGGGGAUAACAGUUCGAAAGGGCUGCUAAUACCGCAUAUGCCUACGACAGGGGAACCUGAUGUAGGGAAAGGGACACCGCUUGGAGAGGGGUCCGCGUCCCAUUAGCUAGUUGGGGGGGUAACGGCCCCCCAAGGCGAUUAUGUGUAGCCGGCCUGGGAGAGAGGUCGGCCACACUGGGACUGAGACACGGCCCAGACUCCUCCCCAGGCANCGGAGGGGCUCCUACUNGAAUCAGNAGUGUGAUUC